CAUGAAGAUGAUGAGGUGACUACACGCGCCCACAUAGAUGCACUGAAUGCAGAAUUGAGAAAAGGGUCACCUGAUCUUGCAGUGAUUGCUGUAAAAAUGGACAGAACAUUUGUCUACCGUUGGAAAAGGAUCAACGAUCAACGUUUGUCAGUGGCUGACAUCAUCUCAGAGUUUCCAGCCCUGAGGCGAAGAAAUUUUCUUGCAGGGGAAGCUGAACGACAUGGUAUUUUGAAGCCCCUUGAAAACUCUUACCUCCAACUCCAUACAUCACUACUUGAGUUGAUGAAGUAUACCAAGUCCCGUUGCAAAGGUUACAAAGAGUACUUCUCAAAAUACCAAGAGGACUUGGACAGCAGUCUGAAUGAAGAUAAAAGAAUCGAAUGUGGCCUGCAGUUUGCUGUGCAACUUCUGCCAUCGCUUUUUAGAGAGGAUGCGACGUAUCUACUCGCUGAUUCGAAUGAGAAUAUCAAAUCUCCAGCUCCAGUUCUUACCUGUGAAGGAGGCGAAUACCAGCUUCACAUCAACGGGGCACCUCUUCUGGCAACAAAAUCAUCAAAGUUUACAAAUGCUUUGGAAGCUCUGUUUCAGUCAUAUUGGGUAUUUUCGUUGGAAUACCCGAAGGAAAUAGAAAAGACGUUACUGUUCUUAGAGUCAUACAUAUUUCAACACAAUACUAAACUACCUGCAUGUGUCUCUACUUGGUCAAAAAAGAUUGGUAUGAAGUUAUAAUUUUCUUCAUUAACUUAUAAAAGACUGAAUUUACUUUAUCAAUGCCAUACAUGACUGAUGAUUGGCGUUAUUUUUUUUUUUUUUUUUUUUUUUUAAGAUAACCGAGUGCCAUAGGAACAGGGUCAGGGAUGUGUCAGAGGGCAUGAGAGAAAUUCACUUUCUUUUCGGUAUCCAAUAUCAAACCUUUAACACUGCCCGACAGAAAUCCUUUGUGUUUCAAAGUUUUCUACAUAUGUUAUUGCAAAUUUACUAAAAGAACUCUUCUUUCAAUAGUAAUUAAGCAUGUAACUUGUCUUACUCACCGUUGUCUAUUUUAUGGUUUUUAGAAUAGCAAAUUUAUUUCAAGGACAUGUUCUUUUCAGAGUAAUUAAGAAUAUCAUAUUUUUUUCUUUUAUUUAGAAGCUCUACGUUUAAAGACAAAGAACACUUUACUUUACAUUUUUGUCAUGCUCAGCCGCAAAUGUAGAACUUAUCUCUCAUUGGCUCAUAUAGGUUAAAUAAAUGCUAUGUGGUUAUAUGGCAUUGAUUUUCACGUAUAAAUUUGUUUUCAUGAAAAUGAUAUGUAAG